rnacentral:rRNA from 1 species
GGUGAUUGACGGGCGGGCAGCGGAGGUAGAGGGUAGGGGGGGAGGUUUGUCCGGAGUUACGGAGCGUGAGGGGUGGGUAGUGGGAAUGAUAAGGCAGAGGUGAAGUCCGAUGGCUUGACAUGGGAGUGGCAUUUGAAACUGGUAGUCUAGAGGGCAGGAGAGGAAAGCGGAAUUCCGAGUGUAGCGGUGAAAUGCGUAGAUAUUAGGAAGAACACCAGUGGCGAAGGCGGCUUUCUGGACUGUAACUGACGCUGAGGCACGAAAGCGUGGGGAGCAAACAGGAUUAGAUACCCGAGUAGC